GCAGCAGUAGGGAAUCUUCCGCAAUGGACGAAAGUCUGACGGAGCAACGCCGCGUGAGCGAAGAAGGUCUUCGGAUUGUAAAGCUCUGUUGUUAGGGAAGAACAAGUACCGCAGUAACUGGCGGUACCUUGACGGUACCUAACGAGAAAGCCACGGCUAACUACGUGCCAGCAGCCGCGGUAAUACGUAGGUGGCAAGCGUUGUCCGGAAUUAUUGGGCGUAAAGCGCGCGCAGGCGGUCCUUUAAGUCUGAUGUGAAAGCCCACGGCUCAACCGUGGAGGGUCAUUGGAAACUGGGGGACUUGAGUGCAGAAGAGGAGAGCGGAAUUCCACGUGUAGCGGUGAAAUGCGUAGAGAUGUGGAGGAACACCAGUGGCGAAGGCGGCUCUCUGGUCUGUAACUGACGCUGAGGCGCGAAAGCGUGGGGAGCAAACAGGAUUAGAUACCCUGGUAGUCCACGCCGUAAACGAUGAGUGCUAAGUGUUAGAGGGGUUACACCCUUUAGUGCUGUAGCUAACGCAUUAAGCACUCCGCCUGGGGAGUACGCCCGCAAGAGUGAAACUCAAAGGAAUUGACGG
rnacentral:rRNA from 1 species